AUACGUAGGGAGCGAGCGUUGUCCGGAAUUACUGGGCGUAAAGGGCGCGUAGGCGGCGCUUCAAGUCGUCUGUCAAAUGGAAGGGCUUAACCCUUUUUCGCAGACGAAACUGGAGAGCUUGAGAAGCAGAGAGGCAAACAGAAUUCCUGGUGUAGCGGUGAAAUGCGUAGAUAUCAGGAAGAAUACCAGUGGCGAAGGCGGUUUGCUGGCUGCAUACUGACGCUGAAGCGCGAAAGCCAGGGGAGCGAACGGGAUUAGAUACCCCGGUAGUCCUGGCAGUAAACGAUGUAUGCUGGGUGUGAGACUAGCGAUAGUUUCGUGCCGAAGUUAACGCGAUAAGCAUACCGCCUGGGGAGUACGGUCGCAAGAUUGAAACUCAAAGGAAUUGACGGG
rnacentral:rRNA from 1 species